UGUUUCCUUUCCAAUUUUGCAGCUGUUUCUGAAGUCUAGGGCUGAGGGUUUUACUGUGAAGCUGCUGUUGCAGUUUCUUGUUUAAAGCUCCACC